GUGUAAUGACUGAACUGCGCACUCUGGCAUCGCUAACUUGUAUCACAAUUUAUUGGAGACUCUGAAAAAAGUCAUGAAACGUUAUGCUGAUACUAAGAUUGCUUCUCACAUUGAAGAAAAAAAUACAUGUAAUUUCCAGGAACUGUUGUCAGAAUCAAUAAAGGGUUUUUGCAAUUCACUUUGAGAAGUCAUGGGAUGGGGACAGCUGUUGCUCUUGUUCCAUUUGAACAAAGGUAAAAAUUGCAAAAGAUAAAUGAUAUUUGAAUAAUAUUCCAGUAGACUUUGGAUUUAUUUUGUUUUGCUGACUUUCCUUUGUUUUGGGAUAGUUUGUUUAUAAACAUUGUUUGUAUUUCCAACUUUUCUUUUACCAUAGAUGGGCUAAUGAAAUGCAGUGCACCAAACUUCUGCUGGAUCAGAUGCAGUCCUCCAAAGUUUUGAAAUCACUAGCUUGGCGUUAUGACUUUCCUAAUUGAUUUGGAGAAAAGUUACCAACUUUUGACAGGAUACACCUGACCAUGUCUUACUCAAUCUAGCAUUUACAAUCACACGAUGGAAAAAGUUGAGAGCAAGUCUGAAGAGGUGUGCAUUUGUAUGCCUUUUUUGUAUGUGGAGGAAGGAAUGGCCCAUAUUACCAUUUGAAAGAUGAACAUUGGUCCUCAGCAGCAAUCUUGAAAAGGAUCCUCCUUAGAUGGAAGUUGAAAAUAUAGGUUAGUAUUUCAGAGGAUACAUUUAUGAAAGAAUCAUGGUACACUGGUUUUCUUGGAUGGCAACAUUUACAUGGACCCCAUGGUACAGCAGAGGAGGGAAAGGAGAGUAACCACUCAUUCAGGCCAUAUCAUGUAUCGUCACACACUUGUUUCCAUCUUACAGAAACAGACAGGCUUCCCAGGAAGUGGAACCCUAACUUUGAGCAAACCAAGAACUGAACUCAUAGUACUGGAAUAAAUGUUACAUUUUUUUUCAUCCUUCCCUCAACACUCUGAAAGCAUUCAUUCUAUAGUCGAGAGCAUUGACAGUAAUAGCCCCCAUUUUUAAACUACUAAAUAUCUUAUGAUUUUGAAAAAUAGGUAUUAUACAUUAUCUAUCACCUUUUGUUGAUGAUAUGAGGUGUCAGAGAAAUGUAAUGAUCCUGAUCAUUAUUAUUAUGAAUAUUAUCUUCAGUUUAAAAGAGGGUAUAGGCCAUAAAGUAAUAAUGAUUUUAAAAGGUACAGUAUAGUGUAGCAAGGAAAAAACUAAAAUAUCAUUACAAGUGAUUAUUCAAGUUAUGUAAUUUCAUGUUGUCAAGUUCACUUGUGGAAACAGUUGUUUGCAAAUAUUGAUUGAGCUGAUGAUGUCACAUUCAUACCUUUAAUUAAUAUCCCCACCAAACAUAGUUUGAAGGGGGUAUAAAGGAAUCAGUGUGAUGUCAGUCGGUCCGUUGCAAAAUCUUGCAUUGCAAACUCUGUCUACAAUCUUUAAUUUUAAUGACACAUAGGGUAAAUGAUAGCAUUGAGGUGUAGAUGUGCAA